CAUACAUACACACUCCACUCUCUCACUCUCUGUCUCUUCUCUUUACUCUUCAACAGCCGACCAGUGACAGCACCUCCUCCGUCGCGUCGACAGCACCUUCUCUGCCGCGGUCCUCUCCUUCUUCCAUCGCUGCCGCUGUUCGGCGAGCUUGUCGCGUGCCACCGUAACAGGCUCGUCACCGACGCAAGGCCAGAAUAAUGUCUUCGGAAGGUCACCAGGGAGAGAGCUUCUCUUCGAAACGUCACCAGAGACGAGAUCACCACCGGAUUCCUUUAUCUUCGUGAAAACCCUCACAGGAAAGACCAUCACCCUCAAUGAUCUUCAAAUAGAGAUUGCCGUGAAGAUAAUGGGUUGGAUCUGGAGUGACAAUGGACUGGAUUUGUUUUUUUUCUUUCAUUUCUGCAUUCAAGUAGUUGUAGAGUUGUUUUGAUCAUCAUACUAUGUUUGAAAAAUGGAAAUUGUAAGCAGAUUAGGGUUUGUUGUUGUUAUUGUUGAUGAUGAUGAUGAUGAUCAAACUAAAAUAGAUAAUUUUUUGUUUU